GAUGAAGAACGCAGCAAAAUGCGAUAAGUAGUGUGAAUUGCAGAAUUCAGUGAAUCAUCGAAUCUUUGAACGCACAUUGCGCCCCUUGGUAUCCCGAGGGGCAUGCCUGUUCGAGCGUCAUUUCACCACUCAAGCCUGGCUUGGUGUUGGGCGACGUCCUCUUUGGGGACGCGCCUCGAAACGCUCGGCGGCGUGGCACCGGCUUUAAGCGUAGCAGAAUCUUUCGCUUUGGAAGUCGGGGCCCCGUCUGCCGGAAGACCUGCUCGCAAGGUUGACCUCGGAUCAGGUAGGGAUACCCGCUGAACUUAAGCAUAUCAAUAAGCGGAGGA
rnacentral:misc_RNA from 1 species